rnacentral:rRNA from 1 species
GAGGAAUAUUGGUCAAUGGGGGGAACCCUGAACCAGCCAUCCCGCGUGCAGGAAGACAGUUCUAUGGAUUGUAAACUGCUUUUCUUGGGGAAGAAUAAUGACGACGUGUCGUCAGAUGACGGUACCCGAGGAAUAAGCAUCGGCUAACUCCGUGCCAGCAGCCGCGGUAAUACGGAGGAUGCAAGCGUUAUCCGGAUUUAUUAGGUUUAAAGGGUGUGUAGGCGGAUGUAUAAGUCAGUGGUGAAAGUCAGCAGCUUAACUGUAGAAUUGCCAUUGAUACUGUAUGUCUUGAGUGUGGUUGAGGUAUGCGGAAUGUGUAAUGUAGCGGUGAAAUGCAUAGAUAUUACACAGAACACCGAUUGCGAAGGCAGCAUGCUAAGCCACAACUGACGCUGAUGCACGAAAGCGUGGGGAUCAAAC